UUUGGCAUAGUUGCUGGAACGAUGGGACAUCUCCAUGACCGAGAUGCCGCUGCCAUUGCAAUUGAGCAGGUUAUCCUGCACUUCUUUAAGGACCUGCAAAUGUUGGAGAUGGUUAACAUGAGUACAUAUUAUAUAGAGGGUCAAUCAACUAUAGAACUAAGAUGGGCACGUCACGUGUUAAUUCAAAGUGUUGCAGUAAUCCAACUAAUUUUACUGACCUCUUCGGGCAACUUGGCUGGACCGGCGGCGAAAUUGAUAACCAUGUUGAUGUUGUGGAGCGUCUGCGAUCUGUGAACCUCUCCGGGAAGCCGCUAAGUGUUAACUAAAGUGUUGAGCAGCCAGUGUAUUCGCAAUCGCUGAUAAACGAGACGAAGGCAGCGGAAAGAACAGCAACAAGUCGCUGGGCGGUAAACAAAACGCAUGCUGAAAAACAUACUGAAACUCGCCCGACUGGACAACGAACUUGCUUCGCUCAGGAGCGGAAGACUCCCAAAGAGGGCAUCUCACCUCAAGCCCCCGACUGUGGAAUCCGCUCCUGAACCACCAACGAAGCCAGACAAAGACCGGCGGUGCGGCGAAUUCGAUCAAAACAAGUCGGCAAACCGCAGGGCGACUAUAUUCGCAAAUAUACAAAUGUACUUAUGUACAUAUACGCACGAAAACAAAAUGCUACCCAAGCCCCCCGUUUUACCCCUUUUUCCCCAAUCUGCGUGGGUUGCCAUGCACUUUUCGAUGGCAUGACAAUAACAACCGAACGACUGAGUUGACGACCGAGUAAACAAGCUUCAAGCAAAAUAUAUUUCAAGAGAAGUUUUGGCCUAACAUUACACUUAUCAACUUAUCAACAAGCAUUUGUGGAAAUAACUUAUAUUUGGUAAGAAU